UACGUAGGGCGCAAGCGUUAUCCGGAUUCACUGGGCGUAAAGGGUGCGCAGGCGGCCAAGUGUGUGAGGCGUGAAAGCCUGGGGCUUAACCCCCAGAAUUGCACCUCAAACUACAUGGCUAGAGCAUUGGAGAGGGUAGCAGAAUUCAUGGUGUAGCAGUGAAAUGCGUAGAUAUCAUGAGGAAUACCAGAGGCGAAGGCGGCUACCUGGACAAUUGCUGACGCUCAGGCACGAAAGCGUGGGGAGCAAAAGGG
rnacentral:rRNA from 1 species